CAAUGUAUUCAAAAUGCUCUGUAUUUAUACAAUAUUUGUCACGAAUAUUGGUUACAAAAGGUUACAAAAAGGUUACAAAAAGGUUACAAAAAGGUUACACAAGAUACAUAAAAGAGGAAGCAGUUUCUGCUGUUACAUUCAAUAAUCUAAUCUUACAAAAUAUUACAUAUACAUUGUGGUUAGGCAUUUCCUGAUACAUAGAAACUGUCAUAGCUUGUGACUUCCUUUCAGUUAUGUUUUGCAAGCAGUUCUAAAAUACUGACAGAUUAAUUGUUUAACCCCUUAAGGACCAAAUUUCUGGAAUAAAAGGGAAUCAUGACAUGUCAUGUGUCCUUAAGGGGUCAAUAUUCCUUCAUUUCCCCCUCUUUGAGCAAUAUCUUGCUCAUACCCUAUUUAAGGAGUCCUGGUCAGACAACCAGCCAUCUGCCAUGGUAUAUUCAGGAUUGCUAGCCAAUCCUGCAGGUCUUUCAUUAUGUCUUCGGCCACUAUUCCCAUAGCAUAGGACUAGGCAUCUGACCAGUACCACAAACUUAUAGAUCUGUAUCAGUAUGUUCACCAUUGCUUCGGUUAUGUGUAUACAUUUGGAGAUACUCAUCAUGGCAAGCUGGGGAUUUUACAGGAACAGUGUUGCGUGUAUGUUUGCAAAUGCAGAAUACAAUAAUCUUGAAAAUAGCAUAAACAAGUAGAGCAAGGAUCAGAACCAUAACAAUAAUUAUUGCAAUAUUCUUUAGCCAGUCUAGGAUACUGUCAAACUUAAACAUAUCUGCCCAUGGGUGAUCAAUACCUGAAUUCCUCUUCAUUUCUAUGGACAGGUCUUCCAAUUUCUUUAUAGCUAGGGUUACUUUACCAUUAGGGCCAGUGUUCUCUGGAAUAUAGGUACAACAAACACCGAAGUCAAGUAAUUUACAGACUCCUCCCUUUUCUGCUAAAAUCAUAUCAAGGGCCAUUCUAUUCUGGAAAGUCAUUUGUGAGGUAGCCUGUAAUUGUUCAGCAAGACCUUGUAAUGCAUCUUGUGUAUAAUUUACAAAUCUUUGCUGAUUAUAAUAUAUAUAAUUAAUCCAGUUAACAUUCUUGUUAGCUGUUAUAAUGGGAAAUAUUGAUUCAAAUCCUGCUGCCACCUCGUCUCUAGCUUUAAAUUCAUUAGGAACCCCUCUUGGAAUACCAAUGGCAUCUAGAUAGAUAUGUGGGUCGAAACUACCUUGUGGGGAUUCCCUUUUCCUUCUUGUGGAAUCAGUUACAACCUUAAUUUCAGGGAGAGAGUCGCCAAAUAUAUGGAGGGGCAUGAUUAUUUUGGCUGGGGCACAUUCUCCUCUCCAGGGGGUGGGGAGUCUAGAACGUAUUUUCAUAUCUCCACAUAUUCAAUAAACAUCUCCCACAGAUUGUUUUUGAUUCACUAAGGUAAUAUUACUGUAGGCGGAGCAGAAUCCUGAAGAGAAGUUAUCAAAUUGUGUACCCACCUUACCAUUAUUAUUUCCCUGAAAACAAGUAUAAUUACCAGGAUAUACUGGGACAACAUCAUUUAAAUUAAACUUGGGUUCACCAAUAGGGUGACCCUUUUUCCAUUCUUCACAUUCUGUAGUAUUAACAGUGAUACCUGAAAACAAACUUAGGAAACAUUCCCAGUACUCAUCAGGGACAUGUAAAGGUACAGUUCCUAGAUGAGGUCUGGCACUACCACAUACAUAACAGUUUGACCUAUUGUUGGAAUGGGCAUUAUAUCUCAUCCAUUCCAGCCAUAGGUUUGUAUCUGCAUACCCUGUUUCUAACGCUAUGGUAUCUCCAAACGUGGGAUCUGCUAUGGCCAUCAUAUUACCAAGGGUCUGAAUGUGGGGCUUUAGAGGAUUAACAAGAGUUUGUCUAGAGGUGAGGCUUUCCCAUUUUGAGGAGUUCCAUAUAUCUUUUAACUGGAUUUUUCCUCGAUUACCUCCAAUACCUCCUCUUAAAAAGGUACUGAGAAUAUAAAUACCUUGAUCUCCAGGACUGGGGUUUUCAAUAUUUAAGGUAAAUUUCAUGGAGUGCCCAGUUUGCCCUAUAGAGGUACAUGUACCUGGCUUUGUUAGGGUCAUUCUAGUCAAGAGGGACUUCCCAUUCGUAUCCUUUUUAUCUAAUGCAUUCUGUGGCUUAUAACCCCAAUCUGUCCCGGUGUUCCAUCCAACUGAGCCCCAAUAAUCACAAUUGUUACCCCUCUUUGAGCAAUAUAUAUUGCUCAUAUCAUCGGAUAACAUUCUCCCAAGACAGAG